AUUGAACGCUGGCGGCAGGCCUAACACAUGCAAGUCGAGCGAGCGGCGGACGGGUGAGUAAUGUAUGGGGAACUGCCUGAUGGCGGGGGAUAACUACUGGAAACGGUAGCUAAUACCGCAUACCAUCAGAUGUACCCAUAUGGGAUUAGCUAGUAGGUAGGGUAACGGCUCACCUAGGCGACGAUCCCUAGCUGGUCUGAGAGGAUGAACAGCCACACUGGGACUGAGACACGGCCCAGACUCCUACGGGAGGCAGCAGUGGGGAAUAUUGCACAAUGGGCGCAAGCCUGAUGCAGCCAUGCCGCGUGUAUGAAGAAGGCCUUCGGGUUGUAAAGUACUUUCAGUGGGGAGGCGUUACCCGCAGAAGAAGCACCGGCUAACUCCGUGCCAGCAGCCGCGGUAAUAC
rnacentral:rRNA from 1 species